rnacentral:lncRNA from 1 species
UGUGUCUCGUUUUAUACUAAUGUAUAAGUGAAAUAGUCGGGCAAUCCAUGACAGAUUUUGCCAAGUAGCCUUUGCCAGCUGUUCAUAUUAAAUUGUUCAUAUUGCCUCGCAUAUGUGUGUCUUCUAUGCCACAUACAACUGUGACGAUAUUGACUUUAGCAAACAAUUCUGCUCAAACCGGUGCUAGGGACUGUCUUUCAACUUUCAUUGAAACGAGAAUGAUUUCUCUGUGUAAAAGAUCUCAAUGUAUUUGUCAAGAGAACAGCAAUAAAGACGCUGUUUCUUUACUGCAAAUGUAUUGUGUAUAUGUCUUGAUUUUGAUGUCGGGCAAACUUAUGAAAGAAAACGGAAACACAAAAAUCAGUAUUUUUUUUUUAAUUUGUUAAGGCGCAUAACCCUAGAAUGGUAUAAAUGACGCCACCAAAAUUCAAAUGUGAUCUGUAUUUUGUUGUAAUACGGAUUGUGUAUAAGUUUCUUAACAUUUUGUUGAGGCAAACUCAAGAUAAAAGAACAAAAACUAAUUUCUUGACGUACGGACAUACACACAGACAAAGCUGGAAAAACUUAAUGCCCCCUCCACUAUAAGUCAUAUUUCAUUGAAUAACCCGAUGUUUUCAUCACUUAGUAACGA